rnacentral:lncRNA from 1 species
CUCAAAUUUCAGAAAUUACAUGCCAAAAAAUCCUAGUCAAAUUCCUUUCUGAAAAUUAUAAUUACAUCGAUUCAUAUUGUCCCUCGCUCAUUCAGUCUACUAUCCACCUUCUUAUGCCCUAAGACCCAUUUUCCUUACUCACAGUUCAAUAGAUCUGGUUAAACAAUACACUUAUCAAUACUAUAAUCAAUUAGUCCCAUAUUUCUUAGCAACACUAACAAUUACUCUAGAACAGAUUGUUGAAUAAGUCACAGGAAUGAUAUUUAUUGUUAACUAGCUAACUUAGUAAUUCUAGGAUUAUAUCUGACAUCUCCUAAUUAUCCCCUAAAUCGGAUCUAACUCCAAUGCACCAAAAAUUAUUAAAAAACAAAAUAUGAUUCGAAUUAAGACAAUAAAUAAAGGAAAGAGGAGUCUACAUGUUAAACAUUAAGUUGUUCUCACCAUGAAUCCAAACCUGCCCGUCUCAUACCUCCCAUUCUCUACCUCUAUUAGUCUAUCUGCGGUCCCCCUCUUUUCAGCUGAGCGAUUGUUCUCUGCCGCAGCAGGUCAUCGGAGAUUCGAUAAGGCUCCCGGUUUGCUCCAGCUUUUUCGCACUCUCUUGGUUUACUCAAAAUCGUGCCUCCCUCUUUCCACGAUUCUUCCUUAUUUUCUAUCUCUCUCUCUAGAUUGUCGCUCUCCCUUAUCUCUCUUAUAUUUCCUUUCUGUCGUUCCCCUCGGCCACGCACGCAGUCAGCACCACCACGCGUUCUCCUUCAGGCCACGCACGAGUCUGCGUUCCUCGCAGAUCUAGUCGCCUACGCUUCUCUUCUUUCUGUCGUUUCCCUGCCCAGAAGGAAGAAGGAGAUUUCCCCUUCUCUGCCAGCUGUCGCAGGCAUUCCUCCUCCCUCACAUGCCCCUCAAUCCCUUAAGGUUCUUUCUGUUGAAAGAGACAAGAAGGGAGAUUUAUAUAUGUGUUUUGGGGGCUGUUUGAUCUCAAUGGUAAAAUUUAAACCGUUGAUUUCUUAUUUCUUUUUAAAUUCCCAUAUUUCCUUUCCCUAUCCAAAUUUUGUAUAGUCCAACCAUCAUCUGUUCCCAUAUUUCCCCCCUAUUAUAAAAAAAAUCACAAUUUAGUCCUUUCCAUUUUUUGGUUCUAAAUAAAUUUUUUCUUAUAUCCUCCGAAGGUCACCGUACAAUUUUUUGGAAUGUUACAUAUUCUCUCCCUUAAAAAAAAUUUAAUCCCUUAAAUUUGCAUAUACUUGGAAUUUUGAAACCCUUAUAUUUACUUGUUUCAUAAUGACUUCUUUCAUAAAAUGUUGUAGCUAUAAUAUUUUAUUUGUAUAAGAAAAUACCAUCUUGGUUUAUGCUGAACCUCAACAUGCAUCAAAGCCUAACGUCUCUCAGUUACGUUGUAUAUAAUUGUCAUUUCUAUCUGACAUGAUUUGAAAACAUCAUCUCUAGGUCAAUGAUCAUUUUGAAAGUCUCUUAAACUAAUAUAUAUCAUAUCCUAAAUCCAUCACUAGAAUAAAUUCUUGAUUACUUAAAUAACCUCAUUACGAUGGUAAUGUUUCCAAUCUCUCAAAUUUCGUGUGUCUACUUUAAACUAUUGUUUCCUAAUUUUUAAAAGUUAAUAUUUAAUUAUUUGAGUAUAUUAUUUAAAAUCUUUAUAAAACCUCUAGGUAUCACCAAUGUGCACAUCAUUAAUAAGGAAUUAGGGUUUUAAUCUACUUUUGUUAUUCACCAAUAUGAUGGUUUAGCCGUACUAUUCUGUUUCAUAUUUCUAUUCUUUUAGGAUAGGUGAGUAUGUAAAUUAAGUGGGUUUGCUAGCUUCCGAAUUCCCGAGUAUUACUUAUGGGUUCGUUACAGUACUAAGGUUCUCAAUAACUUUUGCUCUUUUAUUUCAAGGACCUGGCACUAAUAAUGGUGUAUUUUAUAUUUUUUUGGUUUAGUUUUUGUUAUUUUUAAGUAAUUUUUAUUAGUUUUUCAUUUAAUUUUAGUUUAUUUAGUCACUUUUGUUUAUUUUAUGAAUUUUAGGUAUUUUGGAAUAAUUUGAAAAGUUUUGGAUGAAGAAACGAAAACGACAUAAACCUGACUAGCAAAUGCAUGCUUGUGCAGGUGGCGAUGCACAUC